CGGCCGCAAGGUUAAAACUCAAAGGAAUUGACGGGGACCCGCACAAGCGGUGGAUGAUGUGGAUUAAUUCGAUGCAACGCGAAAAACCUUACCUACCCUUGACAUGUCUGGAAUCCUGAAGAGAUUUGGGAGUGCCCGAAAGGGAACCGGAACACAGGUGCUGCAUGGCUGUCGUCAGCUCGUGUCGUGAGAUGUUGGGUUAAGUCCCGCAACGAGCGCAACCCUUGUCGUUAAUUGCCAUCAUUUAGUUGGGCACUUUAACGAGACUGCCGGUGACAAACCGGAGGAAGGUGGGGAUGACGUCAAGUCCUCAUGGCCCUUAAGGGUAGGGCUUCACACGUCAUACAAUGGUCGGUACAGAGGGUUGCCAAGCCGCGAGGUGGAGCCAAUCCCAGAAAGCCGAUCGUAGUCCGGAUCGUAGUCUGCAACUCGACUGCGUGAAGUCGGAAUCGCUAGUAAUCGCGGAUCAGCAUGUCGCGGUGAAUACGUUCCCGGGUCUUGUACACACCGCCCGUCACACCAUGGGAGCGGGUUCCGCCAGAAGUAGGUAGCCUAACCGCAAGGAGGGCGCUUACCACGGCGGGGUUCGUGACUGGGGUG
rnacentral:rRNA from 1 species